rnacentral:rRNA from 1 species
UACAUGCGGUGCAAACGUUGCUCGGAAUCAUUGGGCGUAAAGCGCGCGUAGGCGGUUGCUUAAGUCGGAUGUGAAAGCCCUCGGCUUAACUGAGGAAGUGCAUCCGAAACUGAGCAGCUAGAGUACGAAAGAGGGUCGCGGAAUUCCCGGUGUAGAGGUGAAAUUCGUAGAUAUCGGGAGGAACACCGGUGGCGAAGGCGGCGACCUGGGUCGAGACUGACGCUGAGGCGCGAAAGCGUGGGGAGCAAACAGG